rnacentral:rRNA from 1 species
AAACGACUCUCGGCAACGGAUAUCUCGGCUCUCGCAUCGAUGAAGAACGUAGCGAAAUGCGAUACUUGGUGUGAAUUGCAGAAUCCCGUGAACCAUCGAGUUUUUGAACGCAAGUUGCGCCCGAAGCCUUUUGGUCGAGGGCACGUCUGCCUGGGUGUCACGC